UACGUAGGGUGCGAGCGUUGUCCGGAAUUAUUGGGCGUAAAGAGCUUGUAGGCGGUUUGUCGCGUCUGCUGUGAAAUCUCAAGGCUCAACCUUGAGCUUGCAGUGGGUACGGGCAGACUAGAGUGUGGUAGGGGAGACUGGAAUUCUUGGUGUAGCGGUGAAAUGCGCAGAUAUCAGGAGGAACACCGAUGGCGAAGGCAGGUCUCUGGGCCACUACUGACGCUGAGAAGCGAAAGCGUGGGGAGCGAACAGG
rnacentral:rRNA from 1 species